rnacentral:rRNA from 1 species
GGCUUAACACAUGCAAGUCGAGGGGUAACAGGUCCCUUUCGGGAUGCUGACGACCGGCGCACGGGUGAGUUACGCGUAUGCAACCUGCCCAUAGCUGGAGGAUAGCCCGGAGAAAUCCGGAUUAAUACUCCAUAAUAUUUCGAAACCGCAUGAUUUUGAAAUUAAAGUUUCGGCGGCUAUGGAUGGGCAUGCGUGCCAUUAGCUUGUUGGUAAGGUAACGGCUUACCAAGGCUACGAUGGCUAGGGGUUCUGAGAGGAUGAUCCCCCACACUGGUACUGAGACACGGACCAGACUCCUACGGGAGGCAGCAGUGAGGAAUAUUGGUCAAUGGGCGCAAGCCUGAACCAGCCAUGCCGCGUGCAGGAUGAAUGCCCUAUGGGUUGUAAACUGCUUUUGUACAAGAAGAAUCUUUCCGACGUGUCGGGAAUUGACGGUAUUGUACGAAUAAGCAUCGGCUAACUCCGUGCCAGCAGCCGCGGUAAUACGGAGGAUGCAAGCGUUAUCCGGAUUCACUGGGUUUAAUGGGUGCGUAGGCGGGAUAGUAAGUCGAUGGUGAAAGCCUGCAGCUUAACUGUAGAAUUGCCAUUGAUACUGCUAUUCUUGAGUGCAGUUGAAGUAAGCGGAAUGUGUAAUGUAGCGGUGAAAUGCAUAGAUAUCACACAGAACACCAAUUGUGAAAACAGCUUACUAACCUGUAACUGACGCUGAGGCACGAAAGCGUGGGGAGCGAACAGGAUUAGAUACCCUGGUAGUCCACGCUGUAAACUAUGAUCACUCGCUGUUGGCGAUACACAGUCAGCGGCUAAGCGAAAGCAUUAAGUGAUCCACCUGGGGAGUACGUCCGCAAGGAUGAAACUCAAAGGAAUUGACGGGGGCCCGCACAAGCGGAGGAACAUGUGGUUUAAUUCGAUGAUACGCGAGGAACCUUACCUGGGCUUAAAUGCAGCUCGACGGACCGGGAAACUGGUCUUCCUUCGGGCGAACUGCAAGGUGCUGCAUGGUUGUCGUCAACUCGUGCCGUGAGGUGUCGGGUUAAGUCCCAUAACGAGCGCAACCCCUAUUGUUAGUUACCAGCGAGUAAUGUCGGGGACUCUAACGAAACUGCCGGUGUAAACCGAGAGGAAGGUGGGGAUGACGUCAAAUCAGCACAGCCCUUAUGUCCAGGGCUACACACGUGUUACAAUGGCCAGUACAAAGGGCAGCUACCACGCGAGUGGAUGCUAAUCUCGAAAGCUGGUCUCAGUUCGGAUUGAAGUCUACAACUCGACUUCAUGAAGGUGGAUUCGCUAGUAAUCGCGCAUCAGCAAUGGCGCGGUGAAUACGUUCCCGGGCAUUGUACACACCGCCCGUCAAGCCAUGGGAGUCGGGGGUACCUGAAGUCCGUAACCGAAAGGAGCGGCACUAGGGUAAAACCGGCGACUGGGGCUAAGU